UGAGGAAUAUUGGUCAAUGGGCGAGAGCCUGAACCAGCCAAGUAGCGUGCAGGAUGACGGCCCUAUGGGUUGUAAACUGCUUUUAUGUGGGGAUAAAGUGCGUGACGUGUCAUGCAUUGCAGGUACCACAUGAAUAAGGACCGGCUAAUUCCGUGCCAGCAGCCGCGGUAAUACGGAAGGUCCGGGCGUUAUCCGGAUUUAUUGGGUUUAAAGGGAGCGUAGGCUGUCUAUUAAGCGUGUUGUGAAAUUUACCGGCUCAACCGGUGGCUUGCAGCGCGAACUGGUCGACUUGAGUAUGCAGGAAGUAGGCGGAAUUCAUGGUGUAGCGGUGAAAUGCUUAGAUAUCAUGACGAACUCCGAUUGCGCAGGCAGCUUACUGUAGCAUAACUGACGCUGAUGCUCGAAAGGGCGGGUAUCAAACAGG
rnacentral:rRNA from 2 species